AUUGAACGCUGGCGGCAGGCCUAACACAUGCAAGUCGAACGAGUGGCGGACGGGUGAGUAAUGUAUGGGAAACUGCCUGAUGGAGGGGGCUAACUACUGUAAAACGUAGAUAAUACCGCAUACCAUCAGAUGUGCCCAGAGGGGAUUAGCUAGGUGGUGGGGUAACGGCUCACCAAGGCGACGAGCCCUAGCUGGUCUGAGAGGAUGACCAGCCAAACUGGAACUGAGACACGGUCCAGACUCCUACGGGAGGCAGCAGUGGGGAAUAUUGCACAAUGGGCGCAAGCCUGAUGCAGCAAUGCCGCGUGUAUGAAGAAGGCCUUCGGGUUGUAAAGUACUUUCAGCGGGGAGGCGUUACCCGCAGAAGAAGCACCGGCUAACUCCGUGCCAGCCGCCGCGGUAAUAC
rnacentral:rRNA from 1 species